AUACUUUAACAUCACUGCUACUUUUGUUUUUCCUUCUGUCUCUGCUCUUCCACGACCUGUGUUCCUGUAACACUUUGCACAUACUCUAACACAGUAAUAAUUAUAAUAUAACAUAACCAGAAUACACCAUAUUAUAGUUUGAUUGGCAGUUCUUUAGAACAGCAGUCAUGCUUUAUUCACAUUAAAAUUUCAAACCCUACCAGUGUGCCUGAGAUAUAGCAGGUGAACAAUACUUGCUUGAUAAAUGAUAUUCCAAAUAUUCAGCUAUGUACAAUAAACAGUAUCUAUACCAACGAUUAAUUUUCACCCCGAGGACAAGUUUUAAGACAAUCUCUAGAAUUAAUAACACUUAAGGAAAUACAACAGAGAAAAAAAUUACUGCCCACAGAAGAGGCUGGGAACAAGAGGGACAGGAAAGGAUAAAAAAAUGAAAGAUGAUUACUUAGGCUGGAACACAACGAAUACAGCCAAAAAGCAAUUAUGAGGCAAGUAUGUGGCCUCUGGUCCAUAGCGCUAGCUCAAAAAAA